rnacentral:ribozyme from 13 species
UUUUCUUUUUCUUUAUUUCUUUUUUCUUUCUUUUUUUUUAA